AGCAAGACAGGCACAAGGCAAGAGGCAACAGGCCUUCUGGUGAUUGGACUAUUAUCUAUGAUCUAAGAAUCAUCUAAGAAUUUGAAGUGCAAGAUCAUCAUAUCCACUGAAGAAGUCUGAAGACUGAACAAAGACAAAGGUUAAGCUGGCAUAAAUGACAUUGAGCUUCAGAGCAUUUUUUCACCUAGCGGGAAAAGCAGAGUGUCCAAGCUCCUGGGUUUGACUCUGUGUAAAAUCAUCAGACUUCACCUUCAAUCUUUCCUUCCACUGGAAGACUGACUCUCUACACAGCACAAGUAAUGAUCCAGAUCAUCAAAAAUUUCCUCACAUGCAGAAUUGUUUAUUGUUGAGAGCUCACCACUUCCACAAUCUACUGCAUUACAGAUAAUCCUUGCUCCUGCAAUAAUGGAAACCAUAACAAUUCCCGCAAUACAUCUAA